rnacentral:rRNA from 1 species
GAGUUUGAUCCUGGCUCAGAAUGAACGCUUGCGGCGUGGAUUAGGCAUGCAAGUCGAACGAGAUUGUAUUUUUUUAAUUCUUCGGAAGAGAAAAUUUACAUGACAGUGGCGAACGGGUGAGGAAUACUUGAGUAAUGUGCCCCUAAGUUUGGAAUAGCCACUGGAAACGGUGAUUAAUGCCAGAUGUGAUCGUCCCCUGCAUAGGGGAUUGUUUAAAGGCAGGGAUCCUUCGGGACCUGUCGCUUGGGGAUCAGCUCGAGGCCUAUCAGCUUGUUGGUGAGGUAAUGGCUCACCAAGGCUAAGACGGGUAGCUGGUCUGAGAGGAUGGUCAGCCACACUGGGACUGAGACACUGCCCAGACUCCUACGGGAGGCUGCAGUCGAGAAUCAUUCACAAUGCGCGAAAGCGUGAUGAUGCGACGCCGCGUGAAGGAUGAAGGCUUUCGGGUCGUAAACUUCUGUCAUGAGGGAAUAAUGGUUAGAGUAGUAAUACUGCUUUAAUUUGAAGGUACCUCAAGAGGAAGCCACGGCUAACUCUGUGCCAGCAGCCGCGGUAAUACAGAGGUGGCGAGCGUUAUUCGGAUUUACUGGGCGUAAAGGGUGCGUAAGCGGAUAGUUAUGUCAGAUGUGAAAGCUCACGGCUCAACCGUGGAAAUGCAUCUGAAACUGAUUAUC